rnacentral:rRNA from 1 species
CUUUGACCUCAAAUCAGGUAGGACUACCCGCUGAACUUAAGCAUAUCAAUAAGCGGAGGAAAAGAAACCAACAGGGAUUGCCUCAGUAGCGGCGAGUGAAGCGGCAAAAGCUCAAAUUUGAAAUCUGGCGUCUUUGGCGUCCGAGUUGUAAUUUGAAGAAGGUAUCUUUGGGCCCGGCUCUUGUCUAUGUUCCUUGGAACAGGACGUCACAGAGGGUGAGAAUCCCGUGCGAUGAGAUGACCCGGGUCUGUGUAAAGUUCCUUCGACGAGUCGAGUUGUUUGGAAUGCA